CAGCCGCCGCGGGAAUACGUAGGGUGCAAGCGUUAAUCGGAAUUACUGGGCGUAAAGCGUGCGCAGGCGGUUAUAUAAGACAGAUGUGAAAUCCCCGGGCUUAACCUGGGAACUGCAUUUGUGACUGUAUAGCUAGAGUACGGCAGAGGGGGAUGGAAUUCCGCGUGUAGCAGUGAAAUGCGUAGAUAUGCGGAGGAACACCGAUGGCGAAGGCAAUCCCCUGGGCCUGUACUGACGCUCAUGCACGAAAGCGUGGGGAGCAAACAGGAUUAGAUACCCCAGUAGUCCCUGUCUCUUAUAC
rnacentral:rRNA from 1 species